UACGUAGGGCGCAAGCGUUGUCCGGAAUUAUUGGGCGUAAAGAGCUCGUAGGCGGCUUGUCACGUCGGGUGUGAAAGCCCGGGGCUUAACCCCCGGGUCUGCAUUCGAUACGGGCUGGCUGGAGUGUGGUAGGGGAGAUCGAAUUCCUGGUGUAGCGGUGAAAUGCGCAGAUAUCAGGAGGAACACCGGUGGCGAAGGCGGAUCUCUGGGCCAUUACUGACGCUGAGGAGCGAAAGCGUGGGGAGCGAACAGG
rnacentral:rRNA from 1 species